CCUCAGUGCUGCAGAGCCGUUUCUCACAAUUUUUUUCCUCAGUCCUCGCUGCCAGGCAGUGUUUCGGCUUUUCUUAAACACUUUUACACAGAGCCACCACCUGCACUGCUGCUGGGCUCAGCUGUGGGGUCGGUGGUUCUGUUACUGAGGUGCUUGGAACGUUCUGGAACCCUCUGGAAAUGGCGGCGCUCCACACGAGGCAGCCCCUGUGCUCUCCUCACAGAGACCUGCAGCCCCUGCGGCCAACACCUGGGCACAGCCACCCAGCUUCAAACAAAAUCUGAAAGGUUUGGGAGGCAGCAUUAAUGAGAAGGACAGUGCAGCCACGUAAUGUGCUUCAGCUCUGGGAAAUUAUGUGGGGUUGUGGCGGCCCGUGUGCUGAGGAAAUAGCCUGCCUCAGGCUUGGGGGCACGGGCAGAAAAUGGAAGGGUUUGGAAAUGACCACUGAGGGGAAGAAACACCAUCUUAGAGGCACAGCAAAGACUUGUGAGAAGAUGGAUGUAGCUAGGAUGUUAAAAACAAGCAGUUAUAGUCCCGACAGGAAGGAUGGCGUCCCAGAAGUAGGGACACGGCCAUGCCUGCCCUCAAGCUGACAUCCAGCUGCAGCCAUGUGUCCGAUGGUGUGGCUCUGCAAAGCUGAGUUUUGCUUUGCCCGCACGAGGUGGGACCUGGAAGCUGAGGAGUGUGAACACCCCAAUGGCUGUGUCUGCAAGGCCUGGCCGAAGAGUGACAUGGGCUGCUGCUGGACAUGUAAUGGCUUAAGUGACUACACUUGUGUGUGGGGCUGCCCAGCAGCGUAGGCACCUCACUGGAGAACUCCCAACUCUCCUGCCAUAAACCCAAUGGUGCAGACUGGGAUGUGCUGGAGCGAAGCAGGCACUGGAUGGAGCUGGCUGUGGGCACUGCUGUGCAAGUUAGCAAGGCAGUCUAUGGAAAUUAUUUGAGACAGAUACUCUUUAAGUCCUGGUAUUGAGCAAGCUUUGAUAUACCCUGUGAG